rnacentral:snoRNA from 1 species
GAGGAUGAUGAUUUUUCUGUCGCCCCAGUCCUAUCGAUCCCACAGCCAGGGAAAGAUUCAUGCGGAUGGACGGACGCGCAAGCGUCUCUGACUC